GCCCUGUGCAGUGGGAACCCAGUUAAUAUGAAUCCUCCCCCACUCAGCAAGAUGGGAAGCUUGGACUCAAAAGACUGUUUUGGACUAUAUGGGGAGCCCUCUGAAGGUACAACUGGACAAGCAGAGAGCAGCUGCCAUCCUGGAGAGCAAAAGGAAACAAAUGACCCCAACCUGCCCCCGGCCGUGAGCAGUGAGAGAGCUGACGGGCAGAGCAGACUGCAUGACAGCAAAGGGCAGACCAAACUCCUGCAGCUGCUGACCACCAAAUCUGAUCAGAUGGAGCCUUCGCCCUUAGCCAGCUCUUUGUCGGAUACAAACAAAGACUCCACAGGUAGUUUGCCUGGUUCCGGGUCUACACAUGGAACCUCGCUCAAGGAGAAGCAUAAAAUUUUGCACAGACUCUUGCAGGACAGCAGUUCCCCUGUGGACUUGGCCAAGUUAACAGCAGAAGCCACAGGCAAAGACCUGAGCCAGGAGUCCAGCAGCACAGCUCCUGGAUCAGAAGUGACUAUUAAACAAGAGCCGGUGAGCCCCAAGAAGAAAGAGAAUGCACUACUUCGCUAUUUGCUAGAUAAAGAUGAUACUAAAGAUAUUGGUUUACCAGAAAUAACCCCCAAACUUGAGCGACUGGACAGUAAGACAGAUCCUGCCAGUAACACAAAAUUAAUAGCAAUGAAAACUGAGAAGGAGGAGAUGAGCUUUGAGCCUGGUGACCAG
rnacentral:sRNA from 1 species